GUUCCAGACUCCUACGGGAGGCAGCAGUGGGGGAUAUUGCACAAUGGGGGGAACCCCGAUGCAGCGACGCCGCGUGGGUGAAGAAGUCAUUCGUGACGUAAAGCCCUAUCAGCAGGGAAGAAAAUGACGGUACCUGACUAAGAAGCCCCGGCUAACUACGUGCCAGCAGCCGCGGUAAUACGUAGGGGGCAAGCGUUAUCCGGAUUCACUGGGCGUAAAGGGAGCGCAGGCGGCACGGCAAGUCUGGUGUGAAAGCCCGGGGCCCAACCCCGGGACUGCAUUGGAAACUGCCGGGCUGGAGUGCCGGAGGGGUAAGCGGAAUUCCUGGUGUAGCGGUGAAAUGCGCAGAUAUCAGGAAGAACACCGGUGGCGUAGGCGGCUUACUGGACCGUGACUGACGUUGAGGCUCGAGAGCGUGGGGAGCAAACAGGAUUAGAUACCCUCGUA
rnacentral:rRNA from 1 species